rnacentral:rRNA from 1 species
GACGAACGCUGGCGGCAUGCCUAAUACAUGCAAGUCGAGCGGAGUUGAUGGAAAGCUUGCUUUCCUGAUACUUAGCGGCGGACGGGUGAGUAACACGUAGGCAACCUGCCCUCAAGCUUGGGACAACUACCGGAAACGGUAGCUAAUACCGAAUACUUGUUUUCUUCGCCUGAAGGAAACUGGAAAGACGGAGCAAUCUGUCACGUGUGGAUGGGCCUGCUGCUCAUUAGCUAGUUGGUGAGGCAACGGCUCACCAAGGCGACGAUGCGUAGCCGACCUGAGCGGGUGAUCGGCCACACUGGGACUGAGACACGGCCCAGACUCCUACGGGAGGCAGCAGUAGGGAAUCUUCCGCAAUGGGCGAAAGCCUGACGGAGCAAUGCCGCGUGAGUGAUGAAGGUUUUCGGAUCGUAAAGCUCUGUUGCCAGGGAAGAACGCUUGGGAGAGUAACUGCUCCCAAGGUGACGGUACCUGAGAAGAAAGCCCCGGCUAACUACGUGCCAGCCGCCGCGGUAA